GCCACAAAAUGAACAACAAUAAUAAAAAUAAAAAAUUUAAAAAAUUAAAAAAUCGGCCAA
rnacentral:ribozyme from 1 species